rnacentral:lncRNA from 1 species
GACUUUUCACAGUGUCCUUCUUCUCCACUUGUGAAGUAAAAUUCCCCAGGUUUUGUAAUGUUGAAUAGAGAAUUUCCAUUGUUCAUAUACAAGAUUGGAUUUUUAAGGUUGCAACUAUUGUAAUUCGCUUUCGUCACUUGUAUUACUGAAUCCUCACUAGGUGGGUACAAAAACAUGAUUGGAUCUCCAAUUUUGAAGACAUGAUUGUACAAGAUUGGAUUUUUAAGGUUGCAACUGUUGUAAUUCGCUUUCGUCACUUGUAUUACUGAAUCCUCACUUGGUGGGUACAAAAACACUGCAAAAAAAAGGAUAUAAAAAUAAAAAGAUUAAUUCAAGAGCUAGAUUGAUGGGCCUGAAUAUUUUAUUAAAGGGUAUGUAAGAAUGGGAAAAUCUUGAAGAUCUGAACAAGAAAUGGGAGGUUUACUGAUUGAAUCUCCAAUCUUGAAGACAUGAUUCUUGGACCAUUUGGUAUAGACAUCUUUAUUUGCAGAAGAGGGUACAUUCCAAGCACUUAAAUCUCCAACUUUGUACUGAUAACACAACACUUUGGUUUGUAUUAAUAGAAAGAACUGAAAAAGAAUGUACAAAGAAUGGUACUUUCUUGGAAUACUAAGAGUAGCAUUGUGUUAAUAGAAAGAACUGAAAAAGAAUGUACAAAGAAUGGUACUUUCUUGGAAUUCUAAGAGUAGCCAUGACUUGCGCAACUUUGUCUCUCUUCACUCUUUGUUUCCCUUUUGACAAAUUUAGUGGAAAUACACAACUUAGAAGGGAUAAAUUAGCACCUAUAUCACUGAGUGGCACAGUAAACCAGACAUGUAAAGUUACUAAAAUGCCCUUUAUCAUUUCCAUAAUAGCAUAAUUACCUAGAAGAAAGCUGCUUGCCGUCAAGGACAAAAGAGGGUCUCCAACAGAGGAACAAUUGAGUAGGGUCAAUUAUAUGAAUAACAAUGG